UACGGGGGGGGCAAGCGUUGUUCGGAAUUACUGGGCGUAAAGGGCUCGUAGGCGGCCAACUAAGUCAGACGUGAAAUCCCUCGGCUUAACCGGGGAACUGCGUCUGAUACUGGAUGGCUUGAGAUUGGGAGAGGGAUGCGGAAUUCCAGGUGUAGCGGUGAAAUGCGUAGAUAUCUGGAGGAACACCGGUGGCGAAGGCGGCAUCCUGGACCAACACUGACGCUAAGGAGCGAAAGCCAGGGGAGCAAACAGG
rnacentral:rRNA from 1 species